GGGGAAUUUUGGACAAUGGGGGCAACCCUGAUCCAGCCAUGCCGCGUGAGUGAAGAAGGCCUUCGGGUUGUAAAGCUCUUUCAGUCGGGAAGAAACGGAGCGCUCUAACAUAGCGCUCUACUGACGGUACCGACAGAAGAAGCACCGGCUAACUACGUGCCAGCAGCCGCGGUAAUACGUAGGGUGCGAGCGUUAAUCGGAAUUACUGGGCGUAAAGCGUGCGCAGGCGGCUUUGUAAGACAGGUGUGAAAUCCCCGGGCUUAACCUGGGAACUGCGCUUGUGACUGCAAAGCUAGAGUACGGCAGAGGGGGGUGGAAUUCCACGUGUAGCAGUGAAAUGCGUAGAUAUGUGGAGGAACACCGAUGGCGAAGGCAGCCCCCUGGGCCUGUACUGACGCUCAUGCACGAAAGCGUGGGGAGCAAAC
rnacentral:rRNA from 1 species